rnacentral:rRNA from 1 species
AUUGAACGCUGGCGGAAUGCUUUACACAUGCAAGUCGAACGGCAGCACGAGGGCAACCUUGGUGGCGAGUGGCGAACGGGUGAGUAAUACAUCGGAACGUGCCCAGUCGUGGGGGAUAACGUAGCGAAAGCUACGCUAAUACCGCAUACGAUCUAUGGAUGAAAGCGGGGGACCGUAAGGCCUCGCGCGAUUGGAGCGGCCGAUGGCAGAUUAGGUAGUUGGUGGGGUAAAGGCUCACCAUGGCGACGAUCAGUAGGGGAUCUGAGAGGAUUAACCCCCACACGGAUACUGAGACACGGAUCCGACUCCUACGGGAGGCAGCAGUAAGGAAUAUUGGACAAUGCCCGCAAGGGUGAUCCAGCCAUGCCGCGUGCAGGAAGACAGCCCUAUGGGUCGUAAACUGCUUUUACACCGGAGAAAACCCCCCUACGUGUAGGGGCGUGAUAGUAUGGUGAGAAUAAGCAUCGGCUAACUUCGUGCCAGCAGCCGCGGUAA